AGUGCCGUUCAAAUAGGGCGGCACCUUGACGGUACCUAACCAGAAAGCCACGGCUAACUACGUGCCAGCAACCGCGGUAAUACGUAGGUGGCAAGCGUUGUCCGGAAUUAUUGGGCGUAAAGGGCUCGCAGGCGGUUUCUUAAGUCUGAUGUGAAAGCCCCCGGCUCAACCGGGGAGGGUCAUUGGAAACUGGGGAACUUGAGUGCAGAAGAGGAGAGUGGAAUUCCACGUGUAGCGGUGAAAUGCGUAGAGAUGUGGAGGAACACCAGUGGCGAAGGCGACUCUCUGGUCUGUAACUGACGCUGAGGAGCGAAAGCGUGGGGGAGCGAACAGGAUUAGAUACCCUGGUAGUCCACGCCGUAAACGAUGAGUGCUAAGUGUUAGGGGGUUUCCCGCCCCUUAGUGCUGCAGCUAACGCAUUAAGCACUCCGCCCUGGGGAGUACGGUCGCAAGACUGAAACUCAAAGGAAUUGACGGGG
rnacentral:rRNA from 1 species